rnacentral:tRNA from 1 species
GGGGAUGUAGCUCAGUUGGUAGAGUGCUUGCCUUGCAUGCACAAGGCCCUGGGUCCAGUCCCCAGCACCACUG